AAAUAACUAGAAAAGAUUUUGGAAAUUAAGACAAUUCCAGUUAUGGAAAAGCAACUGUCUUGAGAAUUUUUUUUUUUCCAGUGGCUGCUUUUGAAGUGCUUUCUAGCAGUUUACAUAAGCAAAUAAAGCACUAUCCUGCUGGAACCCAGAAGAAAUACUGGUAGAAUAGAUUGAGCUAAAGGAAAAUGAGUGAUCACACUACCUGUUGCCACGUACUGAGGCGCACACGAGGUGUUGGUGCCGCGGGCCUCGCUGAAGGAGAACACGGUGAUGUUGUAGGGGGUGCUGCACUGCAGAGCCGACAGGGUGCAGGCCGUGGCCGUGUCCCUGCAGAGCAGCACACCGCUGCGGCUGGCUGCUCGGGUCUCGUACAGGUCAGCGCCUCGCACAGGAGCCCAGGUGACCCGCACCGUGUCGCUUGACAUGAACACGGCCCUGAAGUCACUGGGGCAACAAGGAGCUGCGAACGGAAAAGGCAGACAGGGAAGCCCGAAUGCGAGUGGAAAAGUGGUGCAAAUAAGAGCCUUGUUUCAUUUCUUUAUGUCUUCUCCAAAGGUGACGAAUACUGUGCAAACAGUCUAAUAAACCCCAGAUUUACUUCUUAAAUUGAUUUGGUACCACUCCUUCCAAAUCAGUAGAGGACAUACUAGUGUUUAGGUCAGAUACAGGAAUUACGUAUAUCCUUGGUUUAAAAUUUAAAAGUCUAGAGGUUAAAUAAGUGUUCUCAAAUUCCCAUUGAACUUAAUAUUUUUUUUAAUUUUCAAAGUAUGAAAACUCCCUAUGAGGAAGUUGAAGACUUUGGUACACUCUUCCUGAGGUAAAACUAAAAAAAAACAAAACCCACCCAGACAGAACUAGAGUUCAAAUGUUAUGCCAGGUCUGUGUGUUAUUCAUAUGUCCCUUGCCUGAUGAUUGUGAAUUGUUACUGUUUUCACGUUUGUAUGCAUGUCAUUGCACUUGACUAUGCAAGUUAAGUUUAAUUGUAAUGUGAACUGUUUCUUUUUCUCUGCUGACCUUUGUGUGUUAUACCCAAAACCUGAAUAAAAAAAGUUUAAGUUGUUA